CAGUGAACAGGGACCCGUGAUAAAUACUUCACUGGGUCCCCUGUUCGUACUGUACGUGGUACGGGAUAUGUACCGAACCGAACAUUCGAUGGGUUCCAUCGAAUGUUGGUUGCGGUACGGGGUACGGGUGAUGUGUGAUAUAUAUCGAUUGAGAUAGGUAGGUAGUCCCCUACCUGACUCUGAUCGUACGAGUGCGUGUGUGAGUACCGGUAUUCGGUAUGCCGGUGAUCUCGUAGAAACGGAUAGGCCGGUAGGCGUAUAUGUUUCAGUCUACGGAUACCGUGACUGGUUACUAUAUCGAGAUCCUCGUGAGACAUGACUCUAUACGGUGUAUGUAUGUCUGUAGGUCCUCAUCCCCAUAAUAGAGAGGCCUCUCGGGGCUUGGACCUAUUUGAUCGCGCACGAUGAGCGUAUGGGAGAGGGCCCGGAUAGUCGUCGUCAGAAUAGGAGUGUGAUUCGGGAACACCGUAGACAGCGGAGUGUGGAGGGGGCACUCUUAUGGUGCUGUGGCGGCGGGCCUCGAGGGCGGAGCGACCUUGCGCAACCAAAGCUGGAGGGUGGAGUACACCGAGGAAGCAGGGCUCGUGGAGAAGGGGAGUUCUUUUCAGCGAACAGUGGC
rnacentral:rRNA from 1 species